rnacentral:rRNA from 1 species
UACGUAGGGGGCAAGCGUUGUUCGGAAUUACUGGGCGUAAAGGGCUCGUAGGCGGCCAACUAAGUCAGACGUGAAAUCCCUCGGCUUAACCGGGGAACUGCAUCUGAUACUGGAUGGCUUGAGUUCGGGAGAGGGAUGCGGAAUUCCAGGUGUAGCGGUGAAAUGCGUAGAUAUCGUAAGGAAGGCCAGUGGCGAAGGCGAGUCUCUGGACAGUUACUGACGCUGAGGCACGAAGGCCAGGGGAGCAAACGGG